UUUUUUGUACUCCUAAAACGACGCCCGACAACACCUCCAGAGGAAUGACGCCCAUUUUGAAUAAUCCUGUAUAUAAACGAUCAAUCACAUUUUCGCCUAACUUAUACUGUAUAUGGCGAUGAUUAUUGCAUCUCUAUGCACUUGACCAUAUGCCACUUGUUCAACAGUUUCUUUGGGACGCCACUUGGGAAUUACAACAUAAAUCUCUAGGUUGAAGUAAUUUCCAAUUGGGAGGGAUAUUUUAUAAUACUUGGCGGGCUUAUAGUAUUAAGAUAGAGCCAAAUAUUUAAAUAAUCUAAUAAAAUUGUACGGUAACUACCUCCAUUUGGCUCAUUUAGGAUCGAAACGGCAAAAGAAGAUGAGCAUAUGUCUUUCUCGUCUAGGUUCAAACCUCCGAUGAUUCGAAAUUAAAAAAAAUAUAUAUUCAAGGUUACUUUGGAACCGUUUGAGCAAAUAGUCGAGUAUUUGCAAUUAAAUUAUUAACGUGACGAGAAUGAUUCAAUACAUACGAUCUGUCUGUAAUGUUCACAAAGUUUACUGUCUGAUAAACUUUAAGCUAGAUCUGCACUGUAACAUUCCUGUAAGCAAUAGAUUUACUUAAAACUGUAUUACUUAACGUUAAAUUGUAGCUAUUAUGAAAUAACUGAAUAAAAUUGAAGAAAAUAAA